rnacentral:rRNA from 1 species
CGCGUUGGGAGCUCUCCCAUAUGGUCGACCUGCAGGCGGCCGCGAAUUCACUAGUGAUUAGAGUUUGAUCAUGGCUCAGAACGAACGCUGGCGGCAUGCCUAACACAUGCAAGUCGAACGAAGGCUUCGGCCUUAGUGGCGCACAGGUGCGUAACGCGUGGGAAUCUGCCCCUUGGUUCGGAAUAACAGUUAGAAAUGACUGCUAAUACCGGAUGGCGACGUAAGUCCAAAGAUUUAUCGCCGAGGGAUGAGCCCGCGUAGGAUUAGCUAGUUGGUGUGGUAAAGGCGCACCAAGGCGACGAUCCUUAGCUGGUCUGAGAGGAUGAUCAGCCACACUGGGACUGAGACACGGCCCAGACUCCUACGGGAGGCAGCAGUGGGGAAUAUUGGACAAUGGGCGAAAGCCUGAUCCAGCAAUGCCGCGUGAGUGAUGAAGGCCUUAGGGUUGUAAAGCUCUUUUACCCGGGAUGAUAAUGACAGUACCGGGAGAAUAAGCUCCGGCUAACUCCGUGCCAGCAGCCGCGGUAAAUCGAAUUCCCGCGGCCGCCAUGGCGGCCGGGAGCAUGCGACGUCGGGCCCA